rnacentral:rRNA from 1 species
CCCUUAGAUGUCCGGGGCCGCACGCGCGCUACACUGAAGGAAUCAGCGUGGCUCUGUCCCUGGUCCGAAAGGAUUGGGAAACCCGUUGAAUCUCCUUCGUGAUAGGGAUUGGGGCUUGGAACUGUUCCCCAUGAACGAGGAAUUCCCAGUAAGCGCGAGUCAUAAGCUCGCGUUGAUUACGUCCCUGCCCUUUGUACACACCGCCCGUCGCUACUACCGAUUGAAUGGUCCGGUGAAGCCUCCGGAUUGGCGCGCACCUCGGUGCCGCCGAGAAGUUGGCUAAACCUUACCAUUUAGAGGAAGGUGAAGUCGUAACA